UACGGAGGGUGCAAGCGUUAUCCGGAUUCAUUGGGCGUAAAGAGCUCGUAGGCGGUUUGGCAAGUCAGGUGUGAAAUCUCCGGGCUCAACUCGGAGAGGCCACCUGAUACUGCUAUGACUAGAGUCCGGUAGGGGACCAUGGAAUUCCUGGUGUAGCGGUGAAAUGCGCAGAUAUCAGGAGGAACACCGGUGGCGAAGGCGGUGGUCUGGGCCGGUACUGACGCUGAGGAGCGAAAGCGUGGGGAGCGAACAGG
rnacentral:rRNA from 1 species